UCAAAGUUACAGUAUGCAUCGAUGCAUAACCUUUUGUAUCAAUGCAUAAGUCUGUUUUGUCUACUAACAGCUUCUGUCCUUCAUAUAUAAGAAGUAUUGUGACAGCAGUGAAAAGGAACGAAUUCAGAAGAGAAAAACAGUUGAACACAAGAUCAAAGGAGUGUGUAGCAGCAAUUGUUUUUGAGCAGUUAGAAACCUGAAAGAGACUUCAUCUUCUUCAUCUUCUC
rnacentral:lncRNA from 1 species